AAAGCUUUAAGUUAACAUUUACCAAACUAAUAAUUUUCAAAAUUUUAAAUAAAUUAAAUUUUAAGCUUUA
rnacentral:tRNA from 1 species